GACGAACGCUGGCGGCGUGCCUAAUACAUGCAAGUCGAACGCACGAAGUUGAAGAGCUUGCUCUUUAACCAAGUGAGUGGCGGACGGGUGAGUAACACGUGGGUAACCUGCCCAUUAGAGGGGGAUAACAUUCGGAAACGGAUGCUAAUACCGCAUAGUUUCAGGGAUCGCAUGAUUCUUGAAGGAAAGGUGGCUUCGGCUACCACUAAUGGAUGGACCCGCGGCGUAUUAGCUAGUUGGUGAGGUAAUGGCUCACCAAGGCAAUGAUACGUAGCCGACCUGAGAGGGUGAUCGGCCACACUGGGACUGAGACACGGCCCAGACUCCUACGGGAGGCAGCAGUAGGGAAUCUUCCGCAAUGGACGAAAGUCUGACGGAGCAACGCCGCGUGAGUGAAGAAGGUUUUCGGAUCGUAAAACUCUGUUGUUAAAGAAGAACAAGGAUGAGAGUAACUGCUCAUCCCCUGACGGUAUUUAACCAGAAAGCCACGGCUAACUACGUGCCAGCAGCCGCGGUAAUACGUAGGUGGCAAGCGUUGUCCGGAUUUAUUGGGCGUAAAGCGGGCGCAGGCGGUUCUUUAAGUCUGAUGUGAAAGCCCCCGGCUCAACCGGGGAGGGUCAUUGGAAACUGGAGAACUUGAGUGCAGAAGAGGAGAGUGGAAUUCCACGUGUAGCGGUGAAAUGCGUAGAUAUGUGGAGGAACACCAGUGGCGAAGGCGACUCUCUGGUCUGUAACUGACGCUGAGGCUCGAAAGCGUGGGGAGCAAACAGG
rnacentral:rRNA from 1 species